rnacentral:snoRNA from 1 species
UGAGUAUAACACACCCAACAGGAAUCAGGGGUCAUUGUGAUGAGGGGGACAAAACUUGUGUCCUCUCUAUGAACAUAUUACUUACAUGU